UCAUUAUUGAACUCUCAGGUAGAGGGGAGGGGGAGAAGGGGCUAAACUUUGACUGUCGCUGGCCUUGGCAUGUUGCACGUCUAAGACUCCCUUUCGUUCAUUCUCUCUCCUUUACCACAACCAACACACCUGUGCACCUACUGUAGGCCCUCGAAAGAGGAACCUAUGCUUUUUCGCAUCUACUCUAUGUCUAUAGAAUGUAUAUGUAUUUGUAUUGAAGAUCGUCGCGGUCCAAUAUAAAUGUAAAUGUCAUACAACUUUCAGCAACGGAUCUCUUGGCUCUCGCAUCGAUGAAGAACGCAGCGAAUUGCGAUAAGUAAUGUGAAUUGCAGAUUUUCAGUGAAUCAUCGAAUCUUUGAACGCACCUUGCGCUCCUUGGUAUUCCGAGGAGCAUGUCUGUUUGAGUGUCAUUGAAUUCCUCAAACCAAUGUUUUGAUUCAUCUUCAAAGCAUUGGCUUUGGAACAAUUGGGGGUUUGCUGGCCGCAACAAUAGCAGUCGGCUCUCCUGAAAUGCAUUAGCAGGAAAAGGGAGUUUGCACCAUGCAAGUCUUUCUUUGACGUGCACGGCCUUGGACGUGAUAAUGAUCGUCAUCGCUGGAGCGUCAGACUUGAUCAAUGGCAGUGUCUCUCUUCAUGCUUCCAAUUUCUCUGAUCCUUGAGGGCCUUUAAUCCCCUACCUAACCUUGUCAAGGUCGCUUUCAAGUGGCUUUGUUUGUUAGUUUUGAUUUUGGGGGCCUUUUUGAAUCUUUGCUUGAAAGCUUGACCUCAAAUCAGAUAGGACUACCCGCUGAACUUAAGCAUAUCA
rnacentral:rRNA from 1 species